AGCGCAACCCUUGUGUUUAGUUGCCAACAGGUAAAGCUGUGCACUCUAAACAGACUGCCGUGGAUAACACGGAGGAAGGUGGGGAUGACGUCAAAUCAUCAUGCCCCUUAUGAUCUGGGCUACACACGUGCUACAAUGGUCGGUACAACGGGCAGCGAAAGAGUAAUCUGGAGCGAAUCCUAAAAAGCCGAUCCCAGUUCGGAUUGUGGGCUGAAACUCGCCCACAUGAAGUUGGAGUUGCUAGUAAUCGCGAAUCAGAAUGUCGCGGUGAAUGCGUUCCCGGGUCUU
rnacentral:rRNA from 1 species